UGGUGAUGUAGUUGCUUCUUAAGUCUGACCAUGGUGUCUCCAGGGUAUUAUUCCCUAUAUGGAGAAUGCCUGUGCGUGACUUUGUUUAAUGUGGGGAGACUGGUGCACAGACAGCCACCCCACGGUCUUUGACAGACCUGAGUCGGGAUCCAGUGGCAUGGAGUACUAGACGACCGGAGACCCUUUCCUGCUGCAGCCUUCAUCCACCUUCCCAGCCGUUGUGACACUCCACUAAGAUCAGCCAUCGUCCUCCGCCUGUUGCACCAUUGAGGUCUUGGUUGGAUUGCUCUUUAUCAGAGAUCUCCCCCUCGACCUUACCGCCAUGGGUGGCCCUACCAGGAGCAUAGCUCCAGAUGGCAUCGCUCUCAGGAUCUCAGGUCCACAUAAGCUUCUCCACCACGACAAGUAGAUGCUGGAUAAGGGCCCACAACAAAUCUGCUCCCUAGAGGUGAAAUUCAAAGACCUAGCCAGAUCUACAAAUGGUUCAGGCCAUAUCCAGUGGCAGAUUCUGCACCCUCUCAAGCAGCCUAGCAAACCAGUUUGCUUUGAAAAAUAUCUUAACAACCCAUCGUCACUUUCU